rnacentral:rRNA from 1 species
GAUGAACGCUGACAGAAUGCUUAACACAUGCAAGUCAACUUGAAUUUGGGUUUUUAACUUAGGUUUGGGUGGCGGACGGGUGAGUAACGCGUAAAGAACUUGCCUCACAGCUAGGGACAACAUUUGGAAACGAAUGCUAAUACCUAAUAUUAUGAUAAUAGGGCAUCCUAUAAUUAUGAAAGCUAUAAGCGCUGUGAGAGAGCUUUGCGUCCCAUUAGCUAGUUGGAGAGGUAACGACUCACCAAGGCGAUGAUGGGUAGCCGGCCUGAGAGGGUGAUCGGCCACAAGGGGACUGAGACACGGCCCUUACUCCUACGGGAGGCAGCAGUGGGGAAUAUUGGACAAUGGACCAAGAGUCUGAUCCAGCAAUUCUGUGUGCACGAUGAAGUUUUUCGGAAUGUAAAGUGCUUUCAGUUGGGAAGAAAGAAAUGACGGUACCAACAGAAGAAGUGACGGCUAAAUACGUG